GAAAGCCCCGGGCUUAACCUGGGAAUGGCGCUUGAAACUGGAGGGCUUGGAGUGCGGCAGAGGGGGGUGGAAUUCCUGGUGUAGCGGUGAAAUGCGUAGAGAUCAGGAGGAACACCGAUGGCGAAGGCAGCCCCCUGGGCCGCGUCUGACGCUCAGGCACGAAAGCGUGGGGAGCAAACAGGAUUAGAUACCCUGGUAGUCCACGCCCUAAACGAUGUCGACUAGUUGUUGGGGGAGUUAAAUCCUUCGGUAACGCAGCCAACGCGUGAAGUCGACCGCCUGGGGAGUACGGCCGCAAGGUUAAAACUCAAAGGAAUUGACGGGGACCCGCACAAGCGGUGGAUGAUGUGGUUUAAUUCGAUGCAACGCGAAGAACCUUACCUACCCUUGACAUGUGCCGAAUCUCCCGGAGACGGGGGAGUGCCCGAAAGGGAGCGGCAACACAGGUGCUGCACGGCUGUCGUCAGCUCGUGUCGUGAGAUGUUGGGUUAAGUCCCGCAACGAGCGCAACCCUUGCCAUUAGUUGCCACGCGGUGAGUGGGCACUCUAAUGGGACUGCCGGUGACAAACCGGAGGAAGGUGGGGAUGACGUCAAGUCCUCAUGGCCCUUAUGGGUAGGGCUACACACGUCAUACAAUGGCGCCGACAGUGCGUUGCCACCCGGUAACGGGGCGCGAAUCGCCAAACGGCGUCGCAGUGCAGAUCGGGGGCUGCAACUCG
rnacentral:rRNA from 1 species